AGAAGAGAAGAGAAACCAAGGAAGAACAAGCCCUAGGUGGGAAAAAUCAAAGAGAAAGUGUUAGAAUUCAAGGAAACAAUCUAGGUAAGUUAAAAUUUCUUUAAUUCUCCUUGAUACCUAGCUUACCCAUGCUUUUGUUCUUGAUUUCCAUGGUUGAAUAUUGAGUUAUCAUGAUGAAUUCAAUUCUGAAAAAUGGGUAUGGAAGAGGAAUUGUUGUUGGAAUAAUUUGAUUUUAGACUAUGUUAGUGUUUAGAGAUAGUUAAGCAUGGUUAUGAACAAAAACACAAAAGAAAUAUUCAAUUUCUCUAGGGUUCCUUGUUGGUUGAACCAUGAGGGCUGAAUAUCAAUGGGAGAUUGCUUUUGUUUCAAGGAAAAUGGCUUGGAAAUAUGAUGAAUUAAGGUGAAACGGUUAUGUAGAAAAAUUUUCGGUGUUAGUGCACCAAAUGACCGAAUUUUUCUAUAAGGAACUAUGAGGGUUCUAAUGCUGAAUUUGGCUUUAUUUAAAUGGUAUGUGGUAAAUUAAGGUAUUAGAGGAGAAAUGGAUUAAUUUGGAGUGAAAUUGGAUGCAUUGGCCAAUUUAUCGGAUGAAAAAUUUACUUAGGCCACUACCGAGUCUAGAUGGCUACCCGUGCAUUUUUCAUUUCAUAUCAUAUAUAUAUCGAGCCUGAAAUAGCUUAUGACUAUUAGACACAAUUUAAUUGGAAUAUGUGUCAUGGAUUAUGGUUAGGUGGUGAGCCAUUGCAUACAGGUAAAGGACUGUACCCGCUGAUUGAAAAUAGGAGUAUUUCUACUCCUAAUACCGGUGAGUGGACUUGCAUUUCAAACUUGUUUUGGGGAAUAUGAAAGGUUUUAUCCAACUUGUCUUAGAAAAUGUACCCUGGGAACAAGCUUUUAGUAAAAUGAUUUUAUAUUGUGAAAAUUUGCUAUACAAUGGUUUAUGUGUUAUCACAAUAUGAUAAACUACAUGAUAUGCAUUGGAUGCUUCUUUGCAUGUUGAUGUGGACCCGGCUAUGUAUGAGUAGGAGUGCAUAUAAGCCAUUGCUGACCCGGCUAUGUGCGAGUAGGAGUGCACAUAUGCCGUUGCUAACCCUGCUAUGUGCGAGUGGGAGUGCACAUAUGCCGUUGCUGACCCGCCUAUGUGCGAGUAGGAGUGCGCAUAAGCCGUUGCUGACCCGGCUAUGUGCGAGUGGGAGUACGCAUAAGCCGUUGCAUAUGAGAUGAUGAUGAUGGGAUGAUGUGCAUGAUGAUGAUGAUGAGAUGGUGUGCAUGUUUAUGAUGGGUAUAUGGUUGUAAAUGCAAAUAUGUAAGCAUUUGUUUUGUUGAAAUUUGGAAGUUUACAUGUGUUACAUGUUGCUAUUGUUAUUUUAGCAGGAUGACUUGUUUUAAGGGAAAAAUGAGACUUUUUCCUUGAUGUUCUGGUUCUCGCUGCAG
rnacentral:lncRNA from 1 species